GGGAUUGCCUCAGUAACGGCGAGUGAAGCGGCAACAGCUCAAAUUUGAAAUCUGGCCCCKUCGGGGUCCGAGUUGUAAUUUGUAGAGAGUGCUUCGGGGGAGACCGCGGUCUAAGUCCAUUGGAACAUGGCGUCCCAGAGGGUGAGAAUCCCGUAUGUGACCGCGGCUCGAGCCYAUGUGAAGCCUCUUCGACGAGUCGAGUUGUUUGGGAAUGCAGCUCUAAAUGGGUGGUAAAUUUCAUCUAAAGCUAAAUACUGGCUGGAGACCGAUAGCGCACAAGUAGAGUGAUCGAAAGAUGAAAAGCACUUUGGAAAGAGAGUUAAACAGUACGUGAAAUUGUUGAAAGGGAAGCGCUUGCAACCAGACCUGCCCGUAGGCGAUCAACCGCUGUUCUCAGCGGUGCACUCGUUCUGCGAUCAGGCCAGCAUCGGUUCKGGCGGUCGGAUAAAGGCCUUGGGAAUGUAGCUUCCCUUCGGGGGAGUCUUAUAGCCCUCGGUGCAAUGCGGCCAGCCGGGACCGAGGACCGCGCUUCGGCUAGGAUGCUGGCGUAAUGGUUGUAAGCGACCCGUCUUGAAACACGGACCAAGGAGUCUACCAUCUAUGCGAGUGUUUGGGUGUCAAACCCAUGCGCGAAAUGAAAGUGAACGGAGGUGAGAACCCUUAAGGGCGCAUCAUCGACCGAUCCAGAUGUCUUCGGAUGGAUUUGAGUAUGAGCAUGGCUGGUGGGACCCGAAAGAYGGUGAACUAUGCCUGAAUAGGGUGAAGCCAGAGGAAACUCUGGUGGAGGCUCGCAGCGGUUCUGACGUGCAAAUCGAUCGUCAAAUUUGGGUAUAGGGGCGAAAGACUAAUC
rnacentral:rRNA from 1 species